GACGAACGCUGGCGGCGUGCCUAAUACAUGCAAGUCGAACGCUUCUUUCCUCCCGAGUGCUUGCACUCAAUUGGAAAGAGGAGUGGCGGACGGGUGAGUAACACGUGGGUAACCUACCCAUCAGAGGGGGACAACGGCUGGAAACGGUCGCUAAUACCGCAUAAAAUAUUUGAGCGGCAUCGCUUAAAUAUCAAAGGAGCAAUCCGCUGAAAGAUGGGCUCGCGUCUGAUUAGAUAGUUGGUGGGGUAACGGCCUACCAAGUCGACGAUCAGUAGCCGGACUGAGAGGUUGAACGGCCACAUUGGGACUGAGAUACGGCCCAG
rnacentral:rRNA from 1 species